GUCUGGAAAGGCGCGCGAUACAGGGUGACAGCCCCGUACACAAAAGCGCAUGUGCUGUGAGCUCGAUGAGUAGGGCGGGACACGUGAUAUCCUGUCUGAAUAUGGGGGGACCAUCCUCCAAGGCUAAAUACUCCUGACUGACCGAUAGUGAACCAGUACCGUGAGGGAAAGGCGAAAAGAACCCCGGCGAGGGGAGUGAAAAAGAACCUGAAACCGUGUACGUACAAGCAGUGGGAGCCCCACCACCAAAGCAUUCUCUGGUGUUGAAGGCCCUGCAAAGCAGCAUCGCGGUGGCGGAGCGUCGUUUGCGACGCCCAACACACAAAACAAGCGGUGAGUGCUUUGGGGUGGGGUGACUGCGUACCUUUUGUAUAAUGGGUCAGCGACUUAUAUUCUGUAGCAAGGUUAACCGUAUAGGGGAGCCGGAGGGAAACCGAGUCUUAACCGGGCGUUAAGUUGCAGGGUAUAGACCCGAAACCCGGUGAUCUAGCCAUGGGCAGGUUGAAGGUUGGGUAACACUAACUGGAGGACCGAACCGACUAAUGUUGAAAAAUUAGCGGAUGACCUGUGGCUGGGGGUGAAAGGCCAAUCAAACCGGGAGAUAGCUGGUUCUCCCCGAAAGCUAUUUAGGUAGCGCCUCGUGAAUUCAUCUCCGGGGGUAGAGCACUGUUUCGGCUAGGGGGCCAUCCCGGCUUACCAACCCGAUGCAAACUGCGAAUACCGGAGAAUGUUAUCACGGGAGACACACGGCGGGUGCUAACGUCCGUCGUGAAGAGGGAAACAACCCAGACCGCCAGCUAAGGUCCCAAAGUCAUGGUUAAGUGGGAAACGAUGUGGGAAGGCCCAGACAGCCAGGAUGUUGGCUUAGAAGCAGCCAUCAUUUAAAGAAAGCGUAAUAGCUCACUGGUCGAGUCGGCCUGCGCGGAAGAUGUAACGGGGCUAAACCAUGCACCGAAGCUGCGGCAGCGACGCUUAUGCGUUGUUGGGUAGGGGAGCGUUCUGUAAGCCUGUGAAGGUGGCCUGUGAGGGUUGCUGGAGGUAUCAGAAGUGCGAAUGCUGACAUAAGUAACGAUAAAGCGGGUGAAAAGCCCGCUCGCCGGAAGACCAAGGGUUCCUGUCCAACGUUAAUCGGGGCAGGGUGAGUCGACCCCUAAGGCGAGGCCGAAAGGCGUAGUCGAUGGGAAACGGGUUAAUAUUCCCGUACUUGGUGUUACUGCGAAGGGGGGACGGAGAAGGCUAUGUUGGCCGGGCGACGGUUGUCCCGGUUUAAGCGUGUAGGUGUGUGUUCCAGGUAAAUCCGGUUCACUUUAACACUGAGGCGUGAUGACGAGGCACUACGGUGCUGAAGCAACAAAUGCCCUGCUUCCAGGAAAAGCCUCUAAGCAUCAGGUAACAUCAAAUCGUACCCCAAACCGACACAGGUGGUCAGGUAGAGAAUACCAAGGCGCUUGAGAGAACUCGGGUGAAGGAACUAGGCAAAAUGGUGCCGUAACUUCGGGAGAAGGCACGCUGACANGUAGGUGAAGUGAUUUACUCAUGGAGCUGAAGUCAGUCGAAGAUACCAGCUGGCUGCAACUGUUUAUUAAAAACACAGCACUGUGCAAACACGAAAGUGGACGUAUACGGUGUGACGCCUGCCCGGUGCCGGAAGGUUAAUUGAUGGGGUCAGCGCAAGCGAAGCUCCUGAUCGAAGCCCCGGUAAACGGCGGCCGUAACUAUAACGGUCCUAAGGUAGCGAAAUUCCUUGUCGGGUAAGUUCCGACCUGCACGAAUGGCGUAAUGAUGGCCAGGCUGUCUCCACCCGAGACUCAGUGAAAUUGAACUCGCUGUGAAGAUGCAGUGUACCCGCGGCAAGACGGAAAGACCCCGUGAACCUUUACUAUAGCUUGACACUGAACAUUGAGCCUUGAUGUGUAGGAUAGGUGGGAGGCUUUGAAGUGUGGACGCCAGUCUGCAUGGAGCCGACCUUGAAAUACCACCCUUUAAUGUUUGAUGUUCUAACGUGGACCCGUAAUCCGGGUUGCGGACAGUGUCUGGUGGGUAGUUUGACUGGGGCGGUCUCCUCCUAAAGAGUAACGGAGGAGCACGAAGGUUGGCUAAUCCUGGUCGGACAUCAGGAGGUUAGUGCAAUGGCAUAAGCCAGCUUGACUGCGAGCGUGACGGCGCGAGCAGGUGCGAAAGCAGGUCAUAGUGAUCCGGUGGUUCUGAAUGGAAGGGCCAUCGCUCAACGGAUAAAAGGUACUCCGGGGAUAACAGGCUGAUACCGCCCAAGAGUUCAUAUCGACGGCGGUGUUUGGCACCUCGAUGUCGGCUCAUCACAUCCUGGGGCUGAAGUAGGUCCCAAGGGUAUGGCUGUUCGCCAUUUAAAGUGGUACGCGAGCUGGGUUUAGAACGUCGUGAGACAGUUCGGUCCCUAUCUGCCGUGGGCGCUGGAGAACUGAGGGGGGCUGCUCCUAGUACGAGAGGACCGGAGUGGACGCAUCACUGGUGUUCGGGUUGUCAUGCCAAUGGCACUGCCCGGUAGCUAAAUGCGGAAGAGAUAAGUGCUGAAAGCAUCUAAGCACGAAACUUGCCCCGAGAUGAGUUCUCCCUGAGACUUAGAGUCUCCUGAAGGAACGUUGAAGACGACGACGUUGAUAGGCCGGGUGUGUAAGCGCAGCGAUGCGUUGAGCUAACCGGUACUAAUGAACCGUGAGGCUUAACCUU
rnacentral:rRNA from 1 species